rnacentral:rRNA from 1 species
GAUGAACGCUGGCGGCGUGCCUAAUACAUGCAAGUCGAGCGAGCAGACGAGGAACUUGCUCCUCUGACGUUAGCGGCGGACGGGUGAGUAACACGUGGAUAACCUACCUAUAAGACUGGGAUAACUUCGGGAAACCGGAGCUAAUACCGGAUAAUAUAUUGAACCGCAUGGUUCAAUAGUGAAAGACGGUUUUGCUGUCACUUAUAGAUGGAUCCGCGCCGCAUUAGCUAGUUGGUAAGGUAACGGCUUACCAAGGCGACGAUGCGUAGCCGACCUGAGAGGGUGAUCGGCCACACUGGAACUGAGACACGGUCCAGACUCCUACGGGAGGCAGCAGUAGGGAAUCUUCCGCAAUGGGCGAAAGCCUGACGGAGCAACGCCGCGCGAGUGAUGAAGGUCUUCGGAUCGUAAAACUCUGUUAUUAGGGAAGAACAAAUGUGUAAGUAACUAUGCACGUCUUGACGGUACCUAAUCAGAAAGCCACGGCUAACUACGUG